rnacentral:rRNA from 1 species
AACGAACGCUGGCGGCAUGCCUAACACAUGCAAGUCGAACGAGACCUUCGGGUCUAGUGGCGCACGGGUGCGUAACGCGUGGGAACCUGCCCUUAGGUUCGGAAUAACUCAGAGAAAUUUGAGCUAAUACCGGAUAAUGUCUUCGGACCAAAGAUUUAUCGCCUUUGGAUGGGCCCGCGUAGGAUUAGCUUGUUGGUGGGGUAACGGCCUACCAAGGCGACGAUCCUUAGCUGGUCUGAGAGGAUGAUCAGCCACACUGGGACUGAGACACGGCCCAGACUCCUACGGGAGGCAGCAGUGGGGAAUAUUGGACAAUGGGCGAAAGCCUGAUCCAGCAAUGCCGCGUGAGUGAUGAAGGCCUUAGGGUUGUAAAGCUCUUUUACCAGGGAUGAUAAUGACAGUACCUGGAGAAUAAGCUCCGGCUAACUCCGU